CAGUAGCCGCGGUAAUACGAAGGGGGCUAGCGUUGUUCGGAAUUACUGGGCGUAAAGGGCGCGUAGGCGGCGCAAGAAGUCAGGCGUGAAAGCCCCGGGCUCAACCUGGGAAUUGCGUUUGAUACUCUUGUGCUAGAGUUCGGGAGAGGUGAGUGGAAUUCCCAGUGUAGAGGUGAAAUUCGUAGAUAUUGGGAAGAGCACCGGUGGCGAAGGCGGCUCACUGGACCGACACUGACGCUGAGGCGCGAAAGCGUGGGGAGCAAACAGGAUUAGAUACCCGCGUAGUCCCUGUCUCUUAUAC
rnacentral:rRNA from 1 species